UACGAAGGGGGCUAGCGUUGCUCGGAAUCACUGGGCGUAAAGCGCACGUAGGCGGAUUGCUAAGUCGGGGGUGAAAUCCUGGAGCUCAACUCCAGAACUGCCUUUGAUACUGGCGAUCUUGAGUCCGGGAGAGGUGAGUGGAACUGCGAGUGUAGAGGUGAAAUUCGUAGAUAUUCGCAAGAACACCAGUGGCGAAGGCGGCUCACUGGCCCGGUACUGACGCUGAGGUGCGAAAGCGUGGGGAGCAAACAGG
rnacentral:rRNA from 1 species